rnacentral:lncRNA from 1 species
UCNGGCUUUUUCAAUGAGAAGUAAAAAGAGAAAGACAUUCCACCAACUUCCAUCAAAUCAUUUCUUCAUUCAUCAACUAAAUAAAAAAAAUGAAAAGAAAAGGACAAGCUACUAUACUACUUAAUUGUUGCAGCAGUGCAUAAUAAAAGAAAAGAGAAGAAAAAAAACUUCAUUCAACCAAUGCCAUCUUCCGUCAACAACAUUUCCAAGCUCCUAGAAAUANUGUUCCAGCCCCCACCUAAUAAAAAACGCUGCAGCCCCCUUCAAUUCUCCAAUUGCNGANAGCUCUCCCAAGUAAACGUUCCUCANCUGGCCAAAAAAAACAUUGCCGAGAGAAAGUGCAUCCUUGCAGCCCAAAANUGUGUGACGGNUGUUGCUAUUCUAAGGGGCCAUGUGUCCCUCCAAAUAANGGUGGNGUCNACCCUAAAAUAAAAGGGAACCCUAGGCCUAGUGUNCUACAAUAUUGGGCCUAGUCUACUCNACCAAAAUUAGCCCAAAUUACAAACAUUUGUCCAAAAAGUUUAAACAAUAAAAUUAUAAUAUAACUAAAAUUUAAAAUGUCUAAUAUGAGAGUCUUGAAUUUAUUUGGUGUCCUCCAAAUGUCCCA